GAUGAACGCUGGCGGCGUGCUUAACACAUGCAAGUCGAACGAACCUUCGGGUUAGUGGCGGACGGGUUAGUAACGCGUGAGAAUCUGCCCUCAGGAGGGGGAUAACGGCUGGAAACGGCCGCUAAUACCCCAUAUGCCGCGAGGUGAAAUGAAUUUCGCCUGAGGAUGAGCUCGCGUCUGAUUAGCUAGUUGGUGUAGGUAAUGGCUCACCAAGGCAUCGAUCAGUAGCUGGUCUGAGAGGAUGAUCAGCCACACUGGGACUGAGACACGGCCCAGACUCCUACGGGAGGCAGCAGUGGGGAAUUUUCCGCAAUGGGCGAAAGCCUGACGGAGCAACGCCGCGUGAGGGAUGAAGGCCUCUGGGCUGUAAACCUCUUUUAUCAAGGAAGAAGAUCUGACGGUACUUGAUGAAUAAGCCACGGCUAAUUCCGUG
rnacentral:rRNA from 1 species